rnacentral:rRNA from 1 species
AGAGAGAGACAUGCGCGCAUAUCAAUAAGCGGAGGAAAAGAAACUAACAAGGAUUCCCUUAGUAACGGCGAGUGAAGCGGGAAGAGCUCAAAUUUGAAGUCUUCAAGGUUCUACCUUGACGAAUUGUAGUUUAUAGAAGUGUUUUCUGUUAGUGGAGUGGCAAAAGUUCUUUGGAAUAGGACAUCAUAGAGGGUGAGAAUCCCGUAUUUGGUCAUUCCUCCUAGCGUUGUGAUACACUUUCAACGAGUCGGAUUGUUUGGGAAUGCAGUCCAAAAUGGAUGGUAAAUUUCAUCUAAAGCUAAAUAUUGGCGAGAGACCGAUAGCGAACAAGUACCGUGAGGGAAAGAUGAAAAGAACUUUGAAAAGAGAGUUAAACAGUACGUGAAAUUGUCAAAAGGGAGGCGUUUGACACCAGUGUUGUUUUUCCGAAAAUCAAUUACGAAUGUUUUAUUUUUGAGGAGUUAUGACUUCAUCGGCUUGCUCCUUUCUUUAUGAAACUUUCUUAAUGCACUUUUCGGUUAACAAGUCAACAUCAAUUUCUUUUGUUGUAAAAGGGUAUGAGGAAGGUGGCUUUCUUUUCGGAGAAAGUGUUUAUAGCCUUGUGCCUCUGCAAUCGGAGAGAUUGAGGUCUGCAGCGUAGAUCCUUCGGGGUUAGAUACGUUUGUGCUAAGUUAUAGCUUUUCAUAGACAACUUGUUGACUAUGUUUAGUCUUGUAGCUUACUCGCUGACGCUAUUUUACCUACGCUUAGGAUGUUGAUAGUCACAGCGUGUAC